AUUGAACGCUGGCGGCAGGCCUAACAAAUGCAAGUCGGGCGAGGGGCGGACGGGUGAGUAAUGUAUGGGGAUCUGCCUGAUGGAGGGGGAUAACUACUGGAAACGGUAGCUAAUACCGCAUACCAUCCGAGGAACCCAUAUGGGAUUAACUAGUCGGUAAGGUAAAGGCUUACCUAGGCGACGAUACCUAGCUGGGCUGAGAGGAGGAUCAGCCACACUGGGACUGAGACACGGCCCAUACUCCUACGGUAGGCAGCAGUGGGGAAUAUUGCACAAUGGGCGCAAGCCUGAUGCAGCCAUGCCGCGUGGAUGAAGAAGGCCUUCGGGGUGUAAAGUACUUUCAGUCGGGAGGCGUUACCGACAGAAGAAGCACCGGCUAACUCCGUGCCAGCCGCCGCGGUAAUUC
rnacentral:rRNA from 1 species